GACGAACGCUGGCGGCGUGCCUAACACAUGCAAGUCGAACGGAAAGGCCCUGCUUUUGUGGGGUGCUCGAGUGGCGAACGGGUGAGUAACACGUGAGUAACCUGCCCUUGACUUUGGGAUAACUUCAGGAAACUGGGGCUAAUACCGGAUAGGAGCUCCUGCUGCAUGGUGGGGGUUGGAAAGUUUCGGCGGUUGGGGAUGGACUCGCGGCUUAUCAGCUUGUUGGUGGGGUAGUGGCUUACCAAGGCUUUGACGGGUAGCCGGCCUGAGAGGGUGACCGGCCACAUUGGGACUGAGAUACGGCCCAGACUCCUACGGGAGGCAGCAGUGGGGAAUAUUGCACAAUGGGCGGAAGCCUGAUGCAGCAACGCCGCGUGCGGGAUGACGGCCUUCGGGUUGUAAACCGCUUUCGCCUGUGACGAAGCGUGAGUGACGGUAAUGGGGAAAGAAGCACCGGCUAACUACGU
rnacentral:rRNA from 1 species